rnacentral:rRNA from 1 species
UGGGGAAUUUUGGACAAUGGGCGCAAGCCUGAUCCAGCAAUGCCGCGUGCAGGAUGAAGGCCUUCGGGUUGUAAACUGCUUUUGUACGGAACGAAAAAGCUCUCUCUAAUACAGGGGGUGAAUGACGGUACCGUAAGAAUAAGCACCGGCUAACUACGUGCCAGCAGCCGCGGUAAUACGUAGGGCGCAAGCGUUAAUCGGAAUUACUGGGCGUAAAGCGUGCGCAGGCGGUUUUGUAAGACAGAGGUGAAAUCCCCGGGCUUAACCUGGGAACUGCGUUUGUGACUGCACGGCUGGAGUACGGCAGAGGGGGGUGGAAUUCCACGUGUAGUAGUGAAAUGCGUAGAGAUGUGGAGGAACACCGAUGGCGAAGGCAGCCCCCUGGGCCUGUACUGACGCUCAUGCACGAAAGCGUGGGGAGCAAACA